AUACGUAGGGGGCGAGCGUUGUCCGGAAUGAUUGGGCGUAAAGGGCGCGUAGGCGGCCUGUUAAGUCUGGAGUGAAAGUCCUGUUUUCAAGAUGGGAAUUGCUUUGGAUACUGAUGGGCUUGAGUGCAGGAGAGGUUAUCGGAAUUCCCGGUGUAGCGGUGAAAUGCGUAGAGAUCGGGAGGAACACCAGUGGCGAAGGCGACUUACUGGACUGUAACUGACGCUGAGGCGCGAAAGUGUGGGGAGCAAACAGGAUUAGAUACCCUGGUAGUCCACACUGUAAACGAUGAAUGCUAGGUGUAGGGGGUAUCGACCCCUUCUGUGCCGCAGUCAACACAAUAAGCAUUCCGCCUGGGGAGUACGGCCGCAAGGUUGAAACUCAAAUGAAUUGACGGGG
rnacentral:rRNA from 1 species